rnacentral:rRNA from 1 species
GAUGAACGCUGGCGGUAUGCCUAACACAUGCAAGUCGUACGAGAGUUUUAAACUCAAGUGGCGGACGGGUGAGUAACACGUGAGAAUUUACCUUUAGGAGGGGGAUAACAAUUGGAAACGAUUGCUAAUACCCCAUAUGCUUGAGAGUGAAAUAGAUUUAUCUGCCUAAAGAAAAGCUCGCGGCUGAUUAGCUAGUUGGUAAGGUAAUAGCUUACCAAGGCGACGAUCAGUAUCUGGUUUGAGAGGAUGAUCAGACACACUGGAACUGAGACACGGUCCAG